GCAAGCGGCAGGCUGGGGGGCAUUGUGGCCAUCUUGACUCCGGGCGAAAUGGUUGCAGGCGAGGGGAGGCUUUUCAGGCCCUCUAGCCCGUUUAGCAGUUAGUGGGUUAUGGAUCUCACCCAGCCGAUUCUAGGAGGAGGUCAUUGUAUCGGACGGGCAUCAGUAGCUCUUUUUGCUCGGUGUACGGCGACUUGAGAAGUAUGGUGGAGGUUAUUUUUAAAACUGCCGGUUAGAUGAACAGCGUUUAAAAGAGAUUGGUUUUAUCUUGCAUCUUUAUUGCAAACGCAGGUGCAGUGUCUUUGCGGGCUCGUGUGUGUGUGUGUGUUGCUUGCGGUGAACUAUUUUCUUAGACAGGCACAGUUACUCAAAACUCGUGGUUACGGAAAACACUCAUUUCAUUUCAGGCACACUGACCUAUCGAACUCCGCUGACUCAUUAUCAGAAAUAUUACAACCAAACGGGCUUUUUUCUUUAAACUACUCAACUAUGUCUCCGAGGGCUGCUUUGAAACUGAAACAAAAAGACCGCAGGAGGCUCCAGGAGCCCAGGCUGACACCCCCGGGGAGGAGCUGAGACAGAGCAGGGCCGGCCGGCCGUGGUUCUGCGUGGUCAGUGUGUGUGUCCGAUGGUGUGUCUGCAGCCCCUGAGCUGGCGUUGACAUUGAAAAAUACAGUCCUGCAGGCCCAGGACUGCCUUCUACAGCACAGCAGCACAGACCCCCGUCCUCUUGUGCUGCUGUCUCUGUAACAGUGUUUCUGCUGCCCAUCACGGCGUUGAGUCUGCAGCUGUGAGGGCAUGUGGGAAUGGACUAGACCGUUACAUGACUAUCCUUCUAGUUAUCCGUAAUUAGGGAUCCAGGGUUCAUGAGCAAACAGCUGCAUGGUUGCAUGACUGAAAUGCUCCCAGAGUUCUGCACACAGACCCUGCAGGACUCCUCCAAGGAUCUUACAGGGAAGAUACUACAGGGAAACUGCUGCAUUCUGCAGCGAAUCUGAAGGAUAUAUAGGAAUCUUUUAAAAAAUCACAAAGAAACAGGAUUUCUUUUAUUUUUACAUUCAUUGUAUGUGGUUGUGUACUAUGUGUACUAUCAUGAUGUAAUACCUUUAGACAGAUGUGACUGUAAUUACAUCGGUGCUGCGUGUUUGUAGAUCCUCAGUGUGUCUCACAAUGUACAAAAGAUCGUGAUACUGUUGUAUAUAUGUGGUUCAGCACUUCAGUGGUGAGUGAAGUGGUCACUUCAUGUAUGUUAAGCACUUUAAGGGAUCCUAUGGAAUGAGAAGCUCUAUAUGCAAGAAAUAAUAGUUACAAGUGUUUGACUGAAUGUACUGUUCAGGGCCUCUAUUAAAGCACAUGUGAUCACAGGUCCCUGAGGGAUCUCUCUCCUCUGCUUCACACUGUCUUGAUAGUUUGAAAAAAGAUCAAUCCAAAAACUUUCUCAAGUAGGUGCUCCUAAACAACUGGUAAGAAAUCAGUCAUGAGCCAUGUCUUUAAUUCUGCUGCUGACAUGCCUAUUGGACUUUCCCAGGCUAAGCAUGGAAACUCGAGGUCUCCCAUAAAUCCAGCCUCUUCUGCACAUAAAUCUUUAAUUAUCGAAUGUACUGUAUAUAGAUUUAUCAACACCUGCAUGUGGUGGUACAGUAUGUAGCACACUCCUAACGCUAUAUGAACCAUAUACGCCUCCUAACAACAAUUCUGACUCAUACUUGUCGAUUCAGGGACUCUUGAAUCCUGUACCUUUAACCCUUGAGCCUGAAAGCUUUUUGCCCCACAGUACUACAUCCCUCCCUUUCUGCUCUUCCUUGCCUCUCUGGAACAGUGUGUUUAAAGAAUGCAAAUGAGGGAGCUUUUAUCUUCUAUGUCACAAGGAUUGUGUCCAACACAGUGACAACCCUUGAGAAGCAGUGAGUGUUUCAGCUGAUGAUCCUGGAGAGCCUACCUGGGUUAACUUCAUCAGAGUCUCUGAGGAUUUUUAAUUCUUGAAUCAGAUGAAAAGAACAGCGGAGGUCCCUGUGGAUCAGGACUUGUAGCUGUUGCAGACCCCAGAGCAGGGCGUGACAGUCCCCUGGGAGAGGCCGGCUCACUACACCUCGGUCACAGGGCAGGCCGGCUCGAUGCCGACUGAGGCAAAACUGUCCGCACCGGUCCAUGGCCAGGGUCCGGAGCGAGGCCCACGCAGGGAGUCGGACUCGCAAGGAUCCUUCUGGACUCCUGCAGCCGGGAUCCUGGAGAGAGAGCCGCCCGGGGAGUCGGACCCGUUGGGAUCGGUCUGGACUCCUAGAGGGAGAGAGGAGCAGAGAGUCGGACCCGUCUGGAUCGGUCUGGACUCCCGGAGGGAGAUCCACCCGGGGAGUCGGACACGUCUGGAUCAGUCUGGACUCCCGGAGGGAGAGCUGCACCGAGAGUCGGACCCAUGAGGACUCAUUAUCCAUGUGUGCUCUUCUUGUUAUUGUCAUUGACAUCCCUAUUUCCUAUAAAAUUCAAGUCUCUCAUUAUAAGCACUUUUUCCUGUACGCAUGUUUCUAGUUCAUUACAGAAUUCAUACUGCGCUCCAACUGAUGUCUGAGUUUGGCGGUCUGUAGCAUUCUCCUAACACAGUGCCAUUUGAAUGUUUUUCAAAAUCUGAUCCCUGUAAAUAUAAAU